rnacentral:rRNA from 1 species
AACGAACGCUGGCGGCAGGCCUAACACAUGCAAGUCGAGCGGACCCUUCGGGGUUAGCGGCGGACGGGCGUGUAACGCGUGGGAACGUGCCCUUUUCUUCGGCAUAGCCCUGGGAAACUGGGAGUAAUACCGGAUACGCCCUUUUGGGGCAAGAUCUAUCGGCGCAGGAUCGGCCCGCGUUGGAUUAGGUAGUUGGUGGGGUAAUGGCCUACCAACCCGACGAUCCAUAGCUGGUGUGAGAGGAUGAUCAGCCACACUGGGACUGAGACACGGCCCAGACUCCUACGGGAGGCAGCAGUGGGGAAUCUUAGACAAUGGGGGAAACCCUGAUCUAGCCAUGCCGCGUGAGCGAUGAAGGCCUUAGGGUUGUAAAGCUCUUUCACCGGGGAAGAUAAUGACGGUACCCGGAGAAGAAGCCCCGGCUAACUCCGUG